rnacentral:rRNA from 1 species
GACGAACCGUGCGAACGUUAUUCGGAAUCACUGGGCUUAAAGGGCGCGUAGGCGGGCGGCCAAGUCAGGGGUGAAAGCCCCCAGCUCAACUGGGGAAGUGCCUUUGAUACUGGUUGUCUCGAGGGAGGUAGGGGCGUGCGGAACUUCCGGUGGAGCGGUGAAAUGCGUAGAUAUCGGGAGGAACACCGGUGGCGAAGGCGGUUCUCUGGGCCUGUGCUGACGCUGAGGAGCGAAAGCGUGGGGAGCGAACAGG